rnacentral:rRNA from 1 species
UACGUAGGGGGCAAGCGUUGUCCGGAAUCAUUGGGCGUAAAGAGCGUGUAGGCGGCUCGAUAAGUCUGCUGUGAAAGUCCAGGGCUCAACCCUGGAAGGCCGGUGGAAACUGUCGGGCUAGAGUCCGGAAGAGGCGAGUGGAAUUCCCGGUGUAGCGGUGAAAUGCGCAGAUAUCGGGAGGAACACCAAUGGCGAAGGCAGCUCGCUGGGACGGUACUGACGCUGAGGCGCGAAAGCUAGGGGAGCGAACAGG